rnacentral:rRNA from 1 species
UACGUAGGGUGCAAGCGUUGUCCGGAAUUAUUGGGCGAAAGAGCUCGUAGGCGGUUUGUCGCGUCUGCUGUGAAAACUCGGGGCUUAACUCCGGGCCUGCAGUGGGUACGGGCAGACUAGAGUGCGGUAGGGGAGACUGGAAUUCCUGGUGUAGCGGUGAAAUGCGCAGAUAUCAGGAAGAACACCGACGGCGAAGGCAGCUCGCUGGGACGGUACUGACGCUGAGGCGCGAAAGCGUGGGGAGCGAACAGG